AUACGGAGGAUCCGAGCGUUAUCCGGAUUUAUUGGGUUUAAAGGGUGCGCAGGCGGCCAUUUAAGUCAGCGGUUAAAUCGUGGGGCUCAACCCCACUCUGCCGUUGAUACUGGGUGGCUUGAUUGCGGUCGAGGUUGGCGGAAUUCGUUGUGUAGCGGUGAAAUGCAUAGAUAUGACGAAGAACACCGAUUGCGUAGGCAGCUGACCAGACCGCAAAUGACGCUCAUGCACGAAAGUGCGGGGAUCGAACAGGAUUAGAUACCCUGGUAGUCCGCACAGUAAACGAUGAAUACUUGUUUUCGGCGAUAUAAUGUCGGAGGCAAAGCGAAAGCGAUAAGUAUUCCACCUGGGGAGUACGCCGGCAACGGUGAAACUCAAAGGAAUUGACGGGG
rnacentral:rRNA from 1 species